GCCAGGCACAGGUGGCGCGUGCCUGUAGUCCCAGCUACUUGGGAGACUGAGGUGGGUGAAUCGCUUGAGUCCAGGAGUUCUGGGCUGUAGUGUGUGUGCUAUGCAAAUCGGGUGUCUGCACUAAGUUCAAUAUGGUGACCUCUCGGGAGCGGGGGACCACCAGGUUGCCUAAGGAAGGGUGAACCAGCCCAUGCUGGAAACACAGCAGGUCAAAACUCCCAUGCUGAUCAGUAGUGGGAUUGCACCUGUGAAUAGCCACUGCACUCCAGCCUGGGCAACAUAGCGAGACCCUGUCUCUU
ensembl:misc_RNA Metazoa_SRP Metazoan signal recognition particle RNA